rnacentral:rRNA from 1 species
UACGGGGGGGGGCAAACGUUGUUCGGAAUUACUGGGCGUAAAGCGCGUGUAGGCGGCCCUGCAAGUCGGGUGUGAAAUCCCACGGCUCAACCGUGGAAGUGCACUCGAAACUGCAGGGCUAGAGUCCGGAAGAGGAGAGUGGAAUUCCUGGUGUAGCGGUGAAAUGCGCAGAUAUCAGGAGGAACACCGGUGGCGAAGGCGGGUCUCUGGGCCGAUACUGACGCUGAGGAGCGAAAGCGUGGGGAGCGAACAGG